AGUGAACGCUGGCGGUAGGCCUAACACAUGCAAGUCGAACGGCAGCACAGUAAUAGCUUGCUCUUACGGGUUGCGAGUGGCGUACGUGUGAGGUAUACAUCGUAAUCUACUUUUUCGUGUGGGAUAACGUAGGUAAACUUACUCUAAUACCGCAUACCACCUUCGGUUGAAAGCAGUGGAUCUUCGGACCUUGCGCGAUUGAAUUAGCCGCUGUGGGAUUAGAUAGUUGGCGGGGUAAUGGCCCACCCAGGCGACGAUCCGUAGCUGGUCUGAGUGGAUGAUAGGCGACACUGGAGGUGAGACAGGGUCAAGACUACUAAGGGAGGCAGCAGUGGGGAAUAUUGGACAAUGGGCGCAAGCAUGAUACAGCGAGAGCGAGUGGGUGAAGAAGGCGUUCGGGUUGUAAAGACCUUUUGUUGGGAGAGAAAAGCAGCAGGUUAAGACCAAGCUGGUGUGACGGUACCGAAAGAAUAAGCACCGGCUAACUUCGUG
rnacentral:rRNA from 1 species